UAUUUCCGGUAUUUUAGACAGUACUGCGCAUGUCAACAUGAUUUAUUCUGAUCAACCGUGUGGCGCAUGGAAACGUUUGUUACAAUCGGAGGAAGUUUUUCAGGGCCAUGUGCACAGUUCUAUUCUAAUCUGAUCUUUGAUCUGAUCCAGGACAUUUUGCACAUGGGAAUGCAGCAAUUUAUACUCGAUAAGAAACAAAUCAGAAUGAAGCUCCAUGUGUAGGCGUCAAAACUGUUAUUGUAGAAAUUGAAUGUUUCCACUGUGGUGGUGGGCGUGUCCCUUGAGGUGAGGCGGUGAUUGUGUGAAUGCGUUCACCUGUCAGAUACGGGGCAGGAACGCCAGUUGGAGCAGAGAUCACCGGUUCCACUGGAGACAUUGAAGUAACACCAAAACACAUCUUCAAUUGUUUGAAUCUGAGACUGAUGAAGGCUGACGAUGAAGGUGAUGCAGCAAAGAAGCCUGAAAGCGAAACAAAUGCCUGACGCUCUGGAAAGCGCCGCACCGAUGACAGCGUGGCACAAUAGGGGACAGCGAGGGGCCUUUUACUGAAUUGCUCCCAUCCACAGCAGCCACUAAAUGAUGCUGCAGCGCUCUGUCAUCACUGACCCGUUUUUCACACAAACUCAUUUAAGUAAAUUGCUUGGAGAUGGUAACUGGCCACCGUUUCAACCCAGCUUCCAAUUCUGAGGCGAACAGGCACCUAUAUGUCCGUCCCCAUGGAUAUCCCACUGAUAACAUGAAGUUCGAGGGGGAAAAAGUACAAGCUUCAGUAGUCCAAGGUUACCACAUGUUCAUGGUUUGAUUGACUCGACCAUAAACCGUAUAAAUCUACGAGUAAAAACUGUGAAUCCAC